UUAAAACCUUUCACAUUCGGAAAGCACAACAAAUAUAACAUUUUGAGUCACACUGUGCACGAGAGAACGGUUACAUUUUCAUAAUGAAGAUAUUUUUAUUGACUUUAGUAUACAUGACAUGUUUAGUUUUUGUUGCAUGUGAUUCGGAAGAGGAAUUUGAUGUUGCUGGUUACCAGCCUCUGUAUGAAAGGUUGCUCUUUGGAUAUUAAUAAUUUAUGUUACACGUACGACCUAAAAUGUGUAUCAUGUUCAAUAAAUAAAUAAAAAUCUAAGUUG